UGGGGAAUCUUGCGCAAUGGCCGAAAGGCUGACGCAGCGACGCCGCGUGGGUGAUGAAGGCCUUCGGGUCGUAAAGCCCUGUCGGGUGGAAAGAAUGAGGGUACGGCGAAUAGCGGUAUCCUGUGACGGUACCACCGAAGGAAGCACCGGCCAAUUCCGUGCCAGCAGCCGCGGUAAGACGGAAGGUGCAAGCGUUGCUCGGAAUCACUGGGCGUAAAGGGUGCGUAGGCGGCUUGGUGGGUCUGGCGUGAAAGCCCCGGGCUCAGCCCGGGAAGGGCACUAGAAACUGCCGAGCUGGAGUGCCGGAGGGGAGAGUGGAAUUCCUGGUGUAGCGGUGAAAUGCGUAGAUAUCAGGAGGAAUACCGGUGGCGAAAGCGACUCUCUGGACGGCAACUGACGCUGAGGCACGAAAGCGUGGGGAGCAAA
rnacentral:rRNA from 1 species